GUCUACGGUCAUGCCACUCUGAGCACGCCUGAUCUCCUCUGAUCUCAGAAACUAAGCAAGGUCGGGCCUGGUUAGUACUUGCAUGGGAGACCACCCAGGAAGACCAGCUGCUGUAGGCG
rnacentral:rRNA from 1 species